CCCUUAGAUGUCCUGGGCUGCACGCGCGCUACACUGAUGUGUCCAGUAAGCACCUAACCUCUUCCGAAAGGAACGGGUAACCUUUGCGAAGCACAUCGUGAUGGGGAUAGAUUAUUGCAAUUAUUAGUCUUGAACGAGGAAUUCCUAGUAAGCACAAGUCAUCAGCUUGUGUUGAUUACGUCCCUGCCCUUUGUACACACCGCCCGUCGCUCCUACCGAUUGAAUGUUCCGGUGAGCUCUUCGGACUGCGCGGUCUGCAGUUUCUGCGUUCCGUGCGGAAAGUUGCGCAAACCUUAACAUUUAGAGGAAGGAGAAGUCGUAACA
rnacentral:rRNA from 1 species